GUAUAUUUUUUAGUGGCUACGUGGCUACGCGGCUACGCAGUGAGUUUUUAUAAAAGAACGAGACAUUGAUAUGAUGACGUAAUUACUAAAGUAUAAUACUGUAGGUAUAUUUUUUAGUGGCUACGUGGCUACGCGGCUACGCAGUGAGUUUUUAUAAAAGAACGAGAAAUUGGUAUAAUGACGUAAUUAUUAAAGUAUACUGUAGGUAUAUUUUUUAGUGGCUACGUGGCUACGCGGCUACGCAGUGAGUUUUUGAAAGAACGAGAAAUUGGUAUAAUGACG